GGUGGCAUUUCUGGUGCGGGCAAUCACUGCCAGAGUUAAAGACGGGGUGUCAGAAGGGGACCAUGGCCAACAGUGAGCUUACCUUCAUCGCCAUCAAGCCUGAUGGGGUCCAGCGGGGCCUUCUGGGAGAGAUCAUCAAGCGAUUCAAAUAGAAGGGAUUAUGCCUUGUUGGUUUGAAAUUUACGCAGGCUUCAGAAGAUCUUCUCAAGGAGCACUACAGUGACCUGAAGGACCGUCCCUUCUUUACUGGCCUGGUGAAGUACAUGCACUCAGGACUAGUGGUUGCUAUGGUCUGGGAGGGACUGAAUGUUGUGAAGACAGGCCGGGUGAUGCUUGGAGAGAC
rnacentral:lncRNA from 1 species